rnacentral:rRNA from 1 species
UACGGGGGGGGGCAAGCGUUGUUCGGAAUUACUGGGCGUAAAGGGCUCGUAGGCGGCCAACUAAGUCGGAUGUGAAAUCCCUAGGCUUAACCUGGGAACUGCAUCCGAUACUGGAUGGCUUGAAUCCGGGAGAGGGAUGCAGAAUUCCAGGUGUAGCGGUGAAAUGCGUAGAUAUCUGGAGGAAUACCGGUGGCGAAGGCGGCAUCCUGGACCGGCAUUGACGCUGAUGAGCGAAAGCUAGGGGAGCAAACGGG